AGUCGCGAAUUUAUUCGUUAUUGUCAGGCUGCGAUAGCCUCUCGAAAUUUUUCAACACCUCACGCCGUCUUUACGACCGGCAAUUGAGGACCCUCGAUCAACCGAAUAAACCGACGCACCACUUUCACGUUAUGGGUAUAAUUUUACUUGAGAGAAAAUAAAGUAUAAAUUUAAGGGUGUGUAUUAUAACGAGUAG